rnacentral:rRNA from 1 species
UACGUAGGGUGCAAGCGUUGUCCGGAAUUAUUGGGCGUAAAGAGCUCGUAGGCGGCUUGUUGCGUCUGCUGUGAAAUCCCGGGGCUUAACCCCGGGCGUGCAGUGGAUACGGGCAGGCUGGAGGCAGGCAGGGGAGAAUGGAAUUCCCGGUGUAGCGGUGAAAUGCGCAGAUAUCGGGAGGAACACCGGUGGCGAAGGCGGUUCUCUGGGCCUGUUCUGACGCUGAGGAGCGAAAGCGUGGGGAGCGAACAGG